CAAAAAUGACAGCUUCUUUUCUCUCCUGUGCCCCCAGACUUCCUACCUAAACACAGAUCUCCAGAGACAGAGGAGUGGAAGAAGAGGCAAUAAAUCAUCCACAUUUGGGCAGGAUCAUCUUGCAAAUAAAGACAUACCACUCAACCGAGAGGCUAAGUCCAUCAGUUGAGGCUGUGAAAUCCACUGCAGAAUGUCUUAAUUGAAAGAAAAAAAAUAAUAAACUCUUUCAGGAAACGAGCCCCGCGUUGACAGGAAACAGGACUGUUCCAUGUGUUGGACAAACGUCCCUUCUGAAGAAAAGUGCUGGUCCUUCCACUACUGACACAUCUAUGCAGGCUGACUUAAACCAAUAGCUGAGCUUCUGGGGAAAAGUGGGGACACUGUCUUCCGAAGGCCCCUGCCACGUAAAGGAUUUUCUGCUGUGAGUGUGUGCUAUUCUUAUGACGGGGAAAAAACGAGCUUUGAAGGACCGUGCUUCUGUGUUGAAUGUAGCAUCUACACAGGCAUCUACUUUGAACAGCUCUGAGAAUAUGCUCCAGGGAGUGAAGUGAGGAAUAACACAACCAUCCUGGCGCUGGCCUCCCUGCUUCUACCCUUGACUCCCUCCAGCUGGUGCUCUGCACGGCAACCAGAGGACACAUCAUCUUUUAAUACACGACGCAGCCCACUUAUUCAGCACAGGCUUCAAUGUGUAAUUGGCAGGCCAAGAGACUGAGCUCUCCCAGCUCAUCUGUGCUGUGAAAAUGUGGAAAUCGCCUUUUGUGCCUGUUUUCCUCUCCCAGAAUAUAUAUUUUUUUGGCAGAGAAAUGAGCACAUUGUCUAUAUACCCCUACAUUUGUCUACUUGUGUAUUUAUUACAACUGGCCGUGUAAAGGUACAUCAUAUAGGUCAUUGCAUAUGACUUAGGUCUCUACUAAUUCUGUUUGAGUCAUUGCCAAAUACAUUUCCAAAAUGGCCCUAACGUAAAGACAUACUCAAUUUCAUUGAGAUGUAUAUUUAUAUUCUUUUUGGAAGGAUACUAUAUGCACAUGGUUCAAUAGUCCAAAGAUAGAAAAAGGUAUACAGUGAAAAAUGUCCCUGUCUUCCAGUUCCCCGGUGCCCCUCGCUAGUGGUAACUAUUGUUAGCAGUGUCUUAUGUAUUCUUACAAACAUAUUGUAUUGCUACCAAAGUAAAUUCAUACAUAAUAUAUAGUUCCCUUUUUUACCCCCAAAGCAGCAUACUCCACACACUAUUCUCUCUACCUUGCUUUUAUUAGUUCAUCUAGGCGAUCAUUCUGAAUCAGUACAUAAAGAUUCUCCUUACGGUUUUGUAGUGGCAUGUCAUUCCAUUGAGUGUAUGUGUCCAAAAUUUUUUAUUUAUUUUUAAAUAUUUUAUUAAAAAUUUUAAAUAAUGUUUAUUUAUUUUUGAGAGAGAGAGAGAGAGAGAGAGAGAGAAUGAGUGAGCAGGGGAGAGGCAGAGAGAGAGGGAGACACAGAACCCGAAGCAGGUUCUAGGCUCUGAGCCAUCAGCACACAGCCCAAUUCGAGACUCAAACCCAUGAACCGUGAGAUCAUGACCUGAGCUGAAGUCGGAUGCUUAACCGACUGAGCCAGCCAGGCUCCCCUAAAGAUUUUAUUUUUAAGUAAAUUCUACACCCAACGUGGGAUUCCAACUUACAACCCAAGAUCAAGAGUCACACGCUUGACCAACUGAGACAUCUAGGUGCCCCAUGCACGUGUCAAAAUUACUUAGCCAGUCCUAUACCGGUAGAUGUCUGGAUGUUGGCAUUGUUUCCAAUCUUUUGGUAUCAUAGACAAUACCUGUAUAUAUAAGUCAUUUUGCACAUAUACAACUGUAUCUGUAGAAUACAUUCCUAGAGGUAAUUCAAUUUGUCACUUUGUGCAUUUAUAAUAUUGCUGCAUAUCUUAUUUUUGGGUAUGAGGACACAGGAUUUUCAAGAUGUCAACCUCUGGGGUGCCUGGCUGGCUCAGUCGGUAGAGCAUACGACUCUUGAUCUUGGAGUUGUUAGAGCUCUACACUGGGUACAGAGAUACUUAAAAAAUAUAUAUAUUUUACUUAAUAUAUAUUACUUUAUAUACAUGACUUAUAAUAUGUGUAUAUAUAUACACACACAU